UGUGCAAAAAAACGACAUCGAGAUUUUUGAAAUGAAAACAAUUUACGUGUUAAUUACAACAAAAACUUUAUCUGUAUAGAUUUUUGAAAAAUCCAGAUAAUUAUCCAGAUUUUACUUUCUCUCGAUAGAAAACAGUACUGCCAAGGUACAUUACACUUAUUAAAUGUCAGAUUCCAAUAAACGACAGCUGCAGUUGACAGAUAUAUGACAAAAAAAAAUUUAAUAUUUAAAAUUGAAUUCAAUUAGGAAUAACAAACAACACAAAUCAAUGAUUCACGUGUUUGCAAGAGUGCGAUAUCUUCCCCAAAAUUAAAGAAAAAAACCUGAAAAGGAGAUGGAAAGAAUUAUUUCACAAAAGAAGAAUUCUGUGUACUAUGCGCUUGGGUCUUAAUCGUGUCGGUACCUUCAACCCUCACAGCCAAAAUGUAAUGUCAAAUGCUCUUGGAAUGCGCGCUCGUUUGCGAAAACGUCUAUUCUUAGACGAUCAACAUGAAUAAAUGAUAACAAAGCUCUUGUUGUUAAUAAAUUGCAUCGUUAGAAUGCCCACCACAAAAA